rnacentral:rRNA from 1 species
AUUGAACGCUGGCGGCAGGCCUAACACAUGCAAGUCGAGCGAGCGGCGGACGGGUGAGUACUGUCUGGGGACUGCCCGAUAGAGGGGGAUAACUACUGGAAACGGUGGCUAAUACCGCAUACUAUCGGAUACCCGCUAUGGGAGUAGCUAGUAGGAGGGGUAAAGGCUCACAUAGGCGACGACCUCUAGCUGGUCUGAGAGGAUGAUCAGCAACACUGGGACGGUGAGACGGCCCAGACUCCUACGGAGGCAGCAGUGGGGAAUAGUGCACAAUGGGCGCAAGCCUGAUGCAGCAAUGACGCGUGUAUGAAGAAGGCAUUAGGGUUGUAAAGUACUUUCAGCGUGGAGGCGUUACCCGCAGAAGACGCACCGGCUAACUCCGUGCCAGCAGCCGCGGUAAUAC